rnacentral:rRNA from 1 species
UACGGGGGGGGCAAGCGUUGUUCGGAAUUACUGGGCGUAAAGGGCGCGUAGGCGGCCUGCUAAGUCGGAUGUGAAAUCCCUCGGCUCAACCGGGGAACUGCAUCCGAUACUGGCGGGCUUGAAUCCGGGAGAGGGAUGUGGAAUUCCAGGUGUAGCGGUGAAAUGCGUAGAUAUCUGGAGGAACACCGGUGGCGAAGGCGGCGUCCUGGACCAAUACUGACACUGAUGAGCGAAAGCCAGGGGAGCAAACGGG